rnacentral:rRNA from 1 species
CCCGCUGAACUUAAGCAUAUCAAUAAGCGGAGGAAAAGAAACUAACAAGGAUUCCCCUAGUAACUGCGAGUGAAGCGGGAAAAGCUCAAAUUUAAAAUCUGGUGGCCUCUGGUCAUCCGAGUUGUAAUUUAGAGAAGCGUCUUCCGCGCUGGACCAUGCACAAGUCUCCUGGAAUGGAGCGUCAUAGAGGGUGAGAAUCCCGUCUUUGGCAUGGAUGCACCAGGGCUUCUGUGAUGCGCUCUCAAAGAGUCGAGUUGUUUGGGAAUGCAGCUCAAAAUGGGUGGUGAACUCCAUCUAAAGCUAAAUAUUGGCGAGAGACCGAUAGCGAACAAGUACCGUGAGGGAAAGAUGAAAAGCACUUUGGAAAGAGAGUGAAACAGUACGUGAAAUUGUUGAAAGGGAAACGCUUGAAGUCAGUCGCGUCGACCGAGACUCAGCCUCGCCUUGGCUUGGUGUACUUCUCGGCUGACGGGUCAGUGUCAAUUUUGGUCCUCGGAUAAUGACAAGGGAAAGGUGGCACCUUUAUAGGUGUGUUAUAGUCUCCUGUCGGAUGCGAGGGUCGGGAUUGAGGAACUCAGCACGCUGCCUUUUGGUGUCGGGGCUUCGGCCUACGCUACGUGCUUAGGAUGCUGGCAUAAUGGCUUUAAACGACCCGUCUUGAAACACGG